rnacentral:siRNA from 1 species
AUACUCAUCUGCUGUCAUUCCUA